AUGGCCAGGUGCGCGUGCGGCGCCAUACAGGACGCCGUGCCGUGCGCAUUGCCGCGGACGUCGGCGUUCUCCACAAAGUUGCCCGCGGCCGUGCUGGCCAUGUGCGUGUCGUGCCCGGCGUCGUCGACGGGCGGCGCGGUGUCGUUCAAGGCCGCGCUGCCGAACACGCGCGCCCUGAUGACCUUGUUGUUGCAUCCCCCCGCGCCGGCAAUCGCCUUGAACUCGCACGUGCCCUUCCACUUCUUGGGCGGCGGCAUCCCGGCGUCCCCAAACGAGGAGUGGCUAGGCAAUUUGCCGGUGUCGACGAGCCCAAUCACCAUGUCGCGGCCAAACCCAGAGCGGCUCUAGAAGCCAUCCUUGCCGGUCUGCAGGCUGAGGAAGCCCAGCGAGUGGGUGGUGGCGAGCGGCAGGAACACCUCGGGGUAGAGCCGGAUGCAGCCCAACCUACCCCGCAGCGCCUUGGCCUCGGCGUCGCUGAGCCGCGCCGCAAACCCGGCGAGCAUUUUGCUGUAG
rnacentral:rRNA from 1 species